ACCACUUGAACAAUCAAGACGGGAUCUAAUUUUUAGUUUGCCUGAUGCAAACAUCAUACAUCGGAAGUUGAACGGGCACUCAGCGAAAGCAACAUUUGUCCAGGUAAUGGAUAAACAAAUUAAAUCAAUUCCCAGCUGUCUGACAUAAUCUUUAACUUGUGGUAUCGGUAUAUAAGGACGUUGGUCGUUGCUACUGAGGCAGUCACCAUGUUCACAUUCUCCUUGCUCUUCACUGGCUACAUCACAAACACUCUGGAUCCGUUCCUGUCUGGGGCAACCCUCAAAUCAGAAUGUGCAGUAGCUUGUGUGAACAACGAAAAUUGCUCCUCAUUCUUCUAUGACGUCAACACUCAGGCUUGUUACCUGGAGAAGUAUGUGUUCGUUGCCAGAGACCAGCUCCAGAAUCGGAGUGAUGUUCAAUACUUUUCUCUGCUGAACGGGGCUUGUCCUGCCAGCUACGUCUACUGUCACAAACCAGUGUCUCAGGCGCUACGCAUCUUCGAUCAUGAAGUUUCCAGCCGCAAAGGCACUGUGUAUGGAGAACUCGGGACAUCUUACCUUUAUUAGAUCUAAGGAGGAGAACAGACAAACUGUCCUUGUUGCAAGGAACGAAACCUUAUGGAUCGGCCUCGAGCGUGACACCGGUGGUGAAUGGCACUGGACAAAUGGACAUUCUCUUGGUUCCUACGUCAACUGGAAUUCCACUGGGAUUGGAGAUGAUAGGAUUUAUGGCAAGAUAUUUGGUCCUGGCGGAUGGAGUGCCUAUCGCGCGAGAGGGAAAUUAAGAGCUCUGUGUGAGAUAGAUGUUUGAGGCUAAUGAUGAUGCUCUUAGCUGUCAGUAUACUUAUAGAAUCCCAAUGUAGUAUAUACUUAUUGAAUAUAAUGUCGGAACUACAUACCGUAUGGGAAGACGAAGCGUGACAAAUCGGUUUCUAAAUUGUCUGUCUAUCUAUCUAUCUAUCUAUCUAUCUGUCUAUAGUAUGUGUAUGUGCAUGUGAUCAUAAGUCUCGUACCGUUUACCUGCACUACAGCCAGAUGAUUCAAGAGGAGACAACUCAUAAGCAUCCCUCAUUAAGUUCUUUUGGGUUAACGGUACCCUCCUCAACUUCUUAGCAUUGUUCAGAGGCUAGCUUAGACAUUU